UUUUUAACAUCUCAGGUCAUUAGCGACCAC
rnacentral:sRNA from 1 species